GAAGUGGUUCCGGGGCUUGAUCGCUCACUCCGUAAACAAUCACCCGCUCACUUUCGGUGAUUCAUAAACGCCUCAAGUGUAUCUCAGCGAUUCGGCUUAAAUCGAUUUCCCGCACUCGAAGAGUGUACGCUUCUAAACCUUUGAUUAAGGAACCAAAGUUCUGCACGGCGAACCGUACAGUCGAAGAUGAGGAUAAACGGAGUUCAAGUUCGUAGCGUUAACAUUACAAUAUCCUUUUUGGAACGACUCCUUAUUUCACAACAUCAGGAUUGUCCAAGAUUCAAUAAAUCGUAAUCGAGCAACAACAAAUAUCGCAUAGUUAUACAGACCUGAGAUGCGCGGCAUAGGGACCCCUAAUUAUAGGCAAAUCAGGACACACAUCAACUCUGAGCAGCUCCGAGUUUCACCGAGGCGACAUCAGCCGCGUGAUAACAAAAGAGCAUCGGAGCUGCUCAGGGUGGACUUGUACCCGGGUUUGCCAACAAUCAGGCGCGCAUCGUACAAAUAACCCGCUACAUUAUGCAAGGUCAACUCCUUCGAAGAUAUCCUCAAGUUGGAAAAUAGUGAUUCUGCUUCUUUCAUCGCGUGUCGUUCAUACGUUAACGUUACCGGCUUCAAUUGUCUCGUGACAAAAAAUAGUCUUCUUUAUCCCAGGAAGGAUUUCACAUGUUCCUAAAAUUUACCCCCGACGUUCAAGAUUUCGAGCGGUAUAUGAAAUCGGCAUGCUUCGGUUGAUCAGUAGCCGCAUGAUGAGUGCGAAGUCUCGUCUCCUUCUUCGGGGCAAUAAAGAUGGCUGCGAUGGCCCCCGGCUUCUGUGUCAUUCGACUGCAUGGAGACGGCAUUCACACGUCUGAGUUAUACAGGCGUGUUACACACACCGUGACGUAUAUCCAAAACUGUUUAACAACCCGCUAACUAACGCCGACCGUAUACCUCGCGGCCCAUUUAUAUUUAACUUUAACUUUAUUACCGAAACUCUGCACAGGCUCGCCGUACCUCAUGGUGUUGUACGUGUGUGUUUGUGCGUCUGUGUGUCUACAGAUCGCCGAGCAGAGUUAGGAGUUGUCGGCUAUUAAAAUCGUUUCAUCGUCGUUGAAAAUUCCUGACGAAUUAUUGUACAUGUAUCAUGUGGCAUCCGUUUUAGUUAUUGGCUGCAGAACGUGCAAUUGUGACCUUAUGCUCUCUGCAAAAUACGAUUUUCUUACAAUUAGAUUUUCCUUCAGUUCUUCUCAAGAAAAAUAGACAAACCAAACCACCUUGUCGGAUACGUGGAACAAUCUUUACACCGCGGGCUUGUACAAACAGACGCGAUUUCUUCGCUGUAUAGCAGAUUGAUUAUAAAUCUUUCAUAACCGCGGAGUUUUAAAUAUUUCUUAUUCACGGUAAUAAAUUUUCACCCUCACGUUUCAUAUACCUACGCCAGAAACAACACGCGGUUCUAGGUGUCUGGAUAAAUUAAUCGACCUCUUAAAUUAAACAACGUUAUAUCGUUCUUCUGUAUCCCCGCGCACGCGUUACACAUAACGAUCAUGACGAUGAAAAGUUUUCGGUUUGACUCGAUUCUCGAGUCGAUAGAAAAAUUUUCACGCAAUUACACCAUCAACGAUGAGAAAUGUUUGAAAAAUUAGAAUUCCCUGGUGCUUUCGUUUUUCUUUUUCUUGUUUUUUUUUUCACAGAAACUUCUUGUUCGUUCUUCGCUCUUCGUUCGUCGGUCUUCUUCUUUGCAACUGCAUGUGCUACAGCCUUUGAUGGUUCAGACCGCCGACCGGCUGCUGCAGUUAUACCUAUGCAUAUAACAUGCCGCAACCGUAGUCUGAUCAAGACUCGUGUCGCUCUCAGCGAUUUAUGACUAAUCGUUAGCCAGUCAGCUUGUGUUUUCCACCGCCUAGUACGUGACGAGGGGUACGUGCCUCUUUUGUCAGCCGAUGUAUCAGGUCGAAAUUAGCACUAUAUGCAACGUUACAUAUUGUCCGCAACGUUCCGUUUAGUUUCGUGUUUAGUUACCAAAUCCCACGUUGCGACGUUUGUGUCUUUCUAUUUCUCUCCAUCCUCGUUCGGGCUAUUUCGAGUUUAGUCAGUCUGCACUUUGCUCACCAGUCCGUAAACCAGAUCGUAAACUUUCCUGUAUGGCAACGAGACGCUUACGCCACCGCUCCUUACUUCCUGUGCACCUUCACCAUACGAAUUUAACGUGUGCAGUACGUGACACCCAGCCGUUUCGGUCUUUUGCACCCUCUGUUGGAUGAUAGCCGAACAGUUCACCAGUGCAAGUGUCUUAUUUACCAGUAUUACCGUGUAUGAAUGCACCUGUAAUAUAUGAUACGAUGUUAAUUGUUUCGCCUAGGAUGAAAAGAACGAAGCUUCGUCAUAGUCAACUCGCACGCAGGCAUGUGCUACCAUGAAUCUCAUGUCUCGUUUUCUUCUUUUCUCCCGAAGACGUUAGAUUAUAUUUUUUCAUCGGCUUCUCAACUUCCAGACCGUGAGGCACGGCUGCAGGGAUAUAUUUCACCGGGCGCAAUCUGUUUGGUGUUAACUGGCUGGUAGAGGUCUUUCGACGCCACGGCUUCCCGGCGCCGCGACGCAUAUGCCGCAAGGACUCCCUCGCACCAAAGAACUCGAAGACCGCGAACGGAAGCGAACGGAACGGAACGACCGCGAUGUUGGUUCGUUCGUUCGUGUGGGUCCUAUUUUUGGAUCAGGAGAGGUAAUAUUUCUGUUGGCAGUAGGUUUCUACAGCGCGGAACCAAGAAUAGAAAAGAACACGUUAGACUUCUAGUCUCUUGUACGAUUACCACGAGCAUGACGAUGCUGCAGGAUCGUCCCGAAGGAUGUGCUACCGCUGUGCGCAACUCUUCGUGAUCCUUUCAUGCUGCAGACUUUUUACAUCCCUGAGCUGAAAUACCGAACGAUGCAGCUGGCUCUCGCCAUUGCGAAUGAUAAAUACGUAUUGUUAUAUGAUCGUCUGGGGGGAAACGGCGAACGGAAACGUGGAAGUAGUUUAUCCGACACCGAUGUAUAAAUAACCGUGCCUGAAGGAUCGGAAAACAGCUGGACCUUGAGUGUGGAUUGGGUGAUCCAGUUCUUCAAGGUAACCGCGGUUGUGUGCUUCGGGAACUUUGAAGGGUUGAGAUGAAAGAUCCGAGCGAAACCGCAAGCGUGUAAAACGCCAAAACGCAGACACCGAGGUAACGGGAGCGAAAGAAUACCGAAUUGGAAUAACCGACGGUACGCAUCAGCGGCAUGCUGCAACCUCACAGUCUGCAACAAAGUUCGCGAUAAUUUAGUGUCGAGAAAUGAAAUCAGCCGUAUCUUCCCUCUCCCCCCGCCCUGCCCGCUCAGGUCUUAUUCUUGGCAGCAUAGGCUGUUCCAUUUGUGAUGAGCAGUGCAUUACGCAGGUCUUCUGAAAGCUUGGAAGACCAUAGUUGAAUCAUGAUUCAUGCCAAGAAGAGGACUGCAGGACAACACGGCUUCGACGACGAACGAAUUUUCGGAUCUCUGCUUACAAUGUGUCGGAUUUAUGGAUGUGCUAAACGAUCACUCUCAUCAGCCGUCGAGAACGUGCAUGUACAAUGAUGGAGUGGAAUCCGUUGAUCGAAACUCGUACAGCUAGUUCUGGUUGUUGAGAUGAGUGGAGAGUUUGGCGCCGAGGCUUGUGAUAUGAUUUACAGUCCAAUCGCUUAACACAUCGAUGUACCUACUACGAACAUUUAUGCAUCGUGUACACUGUUAUACGCGUUUUGCGUGCGUAGAUGAUCUUUGCCCAAAUGUAUGCGUGCAUGUAACGAUGAUGAAACUUCUUCUGGCCACAAAUUUAAAUAAAAUUAUGUAGACGCGACGCUGGUGGGGGACUUGGGAGGAGAAUGCGUUGACGUAACUAGUCCGCGUCUUUGGACGACGAUCGUUAAAUCGAAAUCAAAAGUCUAAUUUACGAGUUCUAAAAUUAUUACAUCAUUGAAGUUGGCCCGCCUCGGUUUGCCGUGCAAUUUUUCACGUCAUUCAUACACCGGUGUCUGGCGUCUUUCGGAAAAUUAACGAGAGCUUCUCCAACUGGUGUUGUUCAGUUUCAUUGUUAUCGGACCAUGCUUUGCAAAACUGUAAUAUGCACUCAUCGUGAAUUUCCGCGGAGUUUGCAAGCCUGGGGAUAGACAAGGCUUGUAAAAAAAUACAACUCGAUGGUUGCAUUAUUUUUUUUAUUCUUAUUAUUUCCGAAAUGUGCUGUAUGCUCAUACGAUCAAUUUAGUAAAGCCGACUUGGAUAUUAUAUUGGCACAGAAAUCUUCACUUGAACUUUCAUAUAUCGCAACAUAUAUCAAAUGCCAAAGAUUUUGGCAGAGCGCUCGAAUUUAAAUGGGAUUUUUUAACACGAAUAUUCGACUUUCGUGUGUCUAAGCUUUAUUUCAAUUUGUCAAAGUGGACACCUUUUGACCCCUUCAAUCGUGCCAACUAAGAUGGAAUUGAAAGAUGAAAACCAGAAGUGAAAAAUUAUUGGUCACAUUGUAUUACAGAAAAUCCCGCCAAACACGCAAAAAUUUAUUCCGAUGAAUCUGUUACAUGCAUAAACCAGCUCAAAACUUCCGCAGCAUGAUUUUAACACGUGUUCGAUAGCAUCUGGCCACCGAUACUUAAAUUAGCUGAUCACAGCGAGAAAAAUUGUUGGUAUUAUCGGUAUACCUAGGAAUGAGAAAAAGAUGGAUGAACCGCGUAUAGGCAGCUAUUUUUUGGUCUGUGUAAACACGAUCACUCCAAACCGCUGUUCUUUUUCGUUUAGACUGAAACUCGGGCGGAUUCUUUUCUCAUAUUCUUCCUUUUUUCUCCUCGUGAUGUCACGUAAAUUGGCCCGAAAAAGAAAGCACAGAAAAAUACAAUUGUAGAAAGCAAGAUAUAACUGAUAAAGCAGAGGAAAACAAUUAAGUACUGUAAGAAUUAAAGGGGCUGAAAGAUAAUCGUACUGAUUGCCGUGGAUAAUUGCGGAUAAAAUGAUCAGAGGUCAUGUGACGAAUAAUAAGAGCGGCUGGCUUUUGAUCCACGGCUGCGCACUGGUUUAUAUAUAGAUAUAAUAAUGUAUAAGCCUGUGAGGUGCAUAACUGAAGAGCAUUGCUUUACAACUCGAGCUUCAAGUGUGCAACAUUGUGAAUUUUUCGGGCCAACGGAGAUAUUAAAUAAAGUGUUGAAAGAUA